UACGGGGGGGGGCAAGCGUUUGUUCGGAAUUACUGGGCGUAAAGGGCUCGUAGGCGGCCAACUAAGUCCGACGUGAAAUCCCCAGGCUUAACCUGGGAACUGCGUCGGAUACUGGAUGGCUUGAAUCCGGGAGAGGGAUGCAGAAUUCCAGGUGUAGCGGUGAAAAUGCGUAGAUAUCUGGAGGAAUACCGGUGGCGAAGGCGGCAUCCUGGACCGGCAUUGACGCUGAUGAGCGAAAGCUAGGGGAGCAAACGGG
rnacentral:rRNA from 1 species